GUUGGCUCCAUCUUUUGGUCCCAUUGAAACAAAUUUCAAACUUCAUUUGUGGUGUGUUGGCUCUCUCUAGUGGUAUGCCGGGAGUGGUACAGCCUGUCUACCCUUAUUUGGAUUACCGUAAUGAUGACAAUUUCAACGGUGCGCACAGCGUCGCUGCUUUCAGGAGCCAUUGGAAUUUUUAAGGUUGCGCAAAUCAUUCAAAAGUUACGGUAAUGCUUGGUGGAAAACUCAAUAUCCCACAAUUCAUAGCAGGCCUCUGCCGAGUCAAACAAUGGCGGCCAUCACUUAGUUUUUAUUUUCCUCUUAAUACUGUUUCUAGGUCACAAAAUAAACUUUUAAGAUAUUUUCAGGCGAGAAUGUAGGUGUGUAAACUUCAAAUAUCUGCUUGUUUUAUCAAGACAUCCCAU
ensembl:lncRNA